GAUGAAGAACGUAGCGAAAUGCGAUACGUAAUGUGAAUUGCAAAUUCAGUGAAUCAUCGAGUCUUUGAACGCACAUUGCGCCCCCUGGUAUUCCGGGGGGCAUGCCUGUCCGAGCGUCAUUGCUGCCCUCAAGCACGGCUUGUGUGUUGGGCCCCGUCCUCCGAUCCCGGGGGACGGGCCCGAAAGGCAGCGGCGGCACCUCGUCCGGUCCUCGAGCGUAUGGGGCUUUGUCACCCGCUCUGUAGGCCCGGCCGGCGCUUGCCGAUCAACCCAAAUUUUUAUCCAGGUUGACCUCGGAUCAGGUAGGGAUACCCGCUGAACUUAAGCAUAUCAAUAAGCGGAGGA
rnacentral:misc_RNA from 1 species